rnacentral:rRNA from 1 species
GUGAAAUUGUUGAAAGGGAAACGAUUGAAGUCAGUCGUGCUGGCGCGAAAUCAACCUUCUCGUCUUGAGAUCACAUGGCGUGGCGAGCCUCAAAACCGUCACGAAGCGUGAACUCUUGGUGAAAUGGAGCACUUUCGUGUCCGCUGGUUAACAUCAAUUUCGAACGUCAUAAAAAGGCUGGAGGGAUGUGGCUCCUUCGGGAGUGUUAUAACCCUUAGCGGAAUGUGGUGGACGAGAUUGAGGUUUGCAACGGGUGACGCUUCGCCUGGCCUCUCGCCGGCGUCUUGGCGGCGACAGCUUGCUGACGUCGUCGGGAACCGCAGACGAAAAGGUUAGAGCGGAGCGAUCCGUUAAGGAUGCUGACGUAAUGGCUUUAAACGAC